UGUUCGCAUGUGCUUGUGUAUGUGUUUGUCAAUGUGUGUGUGAUUUUAUGUAAUCGAUUGUAUUAAUUACCAUUAAGUUGGCCAAAGACUCUGCGCUAGGCGUACUUGGGGGACCACAUAAUUACCUAAUGGUCUUUUAAUGAUAGUUAAACAAAUGAUAAUAGUCGUAAAAGAAAGUUGGACUUGCUCUGGUAAACAAAAUAGGCAAAUGCUGAAAGUAUCAGCUCUAAUUGGCAUGG